GGGAAAGGAACAUUGACUCCACAUGCCUUAGGAAGUCCAGCUGCCCGGCCAGCGUUGAGACCAGAGCCUAAGGCGCUCGCAGCAGUUUUAAGGCAACGACAAGCUUGCUGACGGUCGGGAGUUGUACGGGCAAUACUGUUAAGCUUACUAACACCGGUGCAGCACGCUCUGGGAAGGGGUCCACCUUGGGUCAAGUAGCCAAUGCAUGCCGCCACGUUGGUGUUAACGGUGCCACAGCUCAAAGCCGCCUUUGAUGUGAUGGGACCUGCCACAAUCAUGCAGGCCAAGACCAAGCAUGCCAAUUUCACUAGACCGGCCAUUUGUUUUUUCUCUUAGCGUUUUUGCGGAUUUGCAAAAGUAGAUGUGUGUAAUUGUGAUACUGAGUGAGGAAACGAGCCGAGGGAGUGACUGUUUAUAUAGAGAAUGAAGUAUAUGUUAUGAAUGUGGAUGUGAUUACAAGAAAGGACUACUUAGUUGGCUGUUGGUUACAAUUAAUGUAGAGUACCUAAUUAUGUUGGGUACCUCUCAUAUAUAUGUAUAUUUUCUGAUAUAAUUAUCUCAUCUGUUUUUUUGUUUGACAUUUUAUUUCAGUUUUAUUUCUGAAAACCAAAAUACAUUUUAUUAACGUACGUACGCCGUUCUUUCACUUCCACCGUAAGACUUUUGUAACUAUCCAUCUGGAAAAAAAUACUAGUAUUUUUAUGUAGAAAAAUAUUUGAAUAGAAGAUUUAUAUAUUACAACAUCUGUUCAAGAAUGAUUGAUUACUUUAGACCGGAGUUUUUUUAUAACCGAUCCCAAAAGCUUUAUAGGUCCGAGAACUAAUCACUACGAGACCCAUAAAAAUUUGGAGUUUUUUGCUAUCAAAAAUGUUCAUGGUGGCCAAAGGUGUCUACUCUAGAUUGGAGUUAGUAUCUGCUUAUAAAAAAUGAUGUAGCAGAUCCAACAAAAUACGCACCAAAAACAUAUUAAUAAAAUGAGAUAAACCACGAAAAAUUGCCCAAAAAUUAAACUAAAUAUAUAGUUAUCUCCUUUUCCAACGUAUGUGUGUUGGACGUAGCCAUAAAAGUUACUUACAAAGAUCAUGGAUUCAUGUACAUACUUUCAUAUAAAAAGUUUGAAUCAAUUUAUCAUGUAAUAUUAUUUGAUGGAUUGCACUUGAAAUAUAUUUUGGUGGGGGCAACUUCAAGUAGUAUUAUAAAUCAACAGACUCCACGACCCAGUGCCGUCCUAAUUUUAAAAAAACCACAAGCUAACUGAGAGAAAAAAACUAAAAUUGGCAUAAUUAGAGAAUAAAACUUCGGCUACUGAAUUUAAUGAUAAACUAGAUUUUGACUUGUGGAUCCUUACGGGUUUUUACUUUAUAUUUUAUAUAAAUAAAUAUAUAUAUAUAUAUAUAUCUUUGUUGUAAGUAGACAAUGUUAACAUUAUUAUUUUGUAUUAAAUGUUAUUUUGUUUUUCUUAUAAGUAUAACAUAUUGAAAAAUAUGUUGUAAAAAAAUAUAUAAUAUAAUAUUCCAUAUAUUACUUUUUCAAAAAUAUGUUGCUAUUUUUAUUUCAAUAUUAUAUUCAUAAAUGUGUCAUCAUAUUAUUAAUCAUAUUUUAUACGUACUAUCAUAUAAAUAAUUAUAUAAUUAAUAAUAUUUUAUAUGUACCAACAUAUAACUAAUUAUAUAUAUUAUAUUUUUAAAACUUAAUGUGAAAUAUAAAAACCAUAAUUUAAGUUGGUGUUUGAAAUUGAGUUUUAUGUUGUGUUUUUCUUAUAUAUAUAAAACAUUUUUCUAAUAAUGGUUACUGAAAAAUAUUUUAGUAAAAAUCAAAUUUUGAAUAUAUGUAUAUUUUUAAUCAAUUUUUGAUAUAAAUCAAUUUUAAAUUAAUAUUUUCAUUUGAAAUAUGUAUAUGAAGGGUAAAUUUGUUUUAUGAUUAUUUUAGACAGAAGCUUUUUUUUGCUAAUUAGAUUGAGUAAUUUUCGUAUAUUUUAAAGUUGACUGAGAUAUAUAAUUUCUCAAAUAUAAUGAAUUUCCAAUUUUUCUUAAUAGCAUAAGCCAUUCUUAUUUUUUUCUUUAAUAAGAUAGAUAUCUAUGUUUCUAAAUAAUAUUAUAUUUUUUUUAUUACUAUUCAUGUUUCAAAUAUUUCCUAAACGUACUUUUACUUUAAAUAAGAUUGAUGAUUUACACUACUAGACUAAAAAAACUUUUGAAGAAAAGCUGGCUGGAUUUAGUUUAUGUGUUUUAGAGCUGGAAGCCCAUGAUUUCUCAGCUUUACCUCGAGGUCGGGCCUGACGACUUCUAGCCCCUUGUGCAUAUACUGAAAGUUUAAUUGCAAUUUUUAUUUCUAAAAAUUUGAUUCACUCUUCUAUAACAGAAAAGGCAAUCAAAGUUGUGUCUAGACUUUUGGGAACCGUAUGCAAGUAUAAAUACUUCUGACAUUUUCUUUAAUAAGAAAAUAUCACAAGUAAAUUAUAAAACUAAAUUAAGUGAAAAGAUAAAUAACCUAUCAAUGAUGAAAACAUAGCCAAAAUUUAAAUAACAAUAUUAUUUCUUAAUGUUCAUUCUAUUUAAUUGUCCAAAUCAUCAUCUCAUAAGUGAUCAGUGUAAAGGCCAAAUCGAAUUAAUAAAUAGACCUCGAAUAUUUGUCACGGUUUUCCAAGGGUUGUCACGGUUCCUUGAAACAGUCCACCAUUUUCUCGAUUAUCAUAAGUCUAAACAAAUAAUUGAACAGUACCAACUACCAAGCGUGGGGAAUGUCUUGUUACUUCAUUUUCUGUAAAAUUAAAAUGCUCCGUUACUUCCCAACUGUAUUGCAAAUUAAAUAUAAUUUCCUUUUUGUUUAUGUUUGAUAAUUUUUGUUCAUAAUUAUGGAACUAAACUAACCUUCGGUAAGAAUAUAGUAGAAUAAAACGUAAAUCUUAGAUCUGAAAUUCAUAUAACGUUGAUUGUGAACAUAGUACAGACGACCAAAGUAAUAGGAACGUCACAACAUAAAAGACAGGAAACUGAAAAACUCUAAAAACAACAACCAUGGAACAUCUUAUUUUAGUAUUCGCUCAUCCAAUACAUAAUACUUGAACGUCUGCAUUAGCUUCAUCCGACCGCCGCUCAUUUCACACUGUAACCACAUACAAAUAAACAUAACACCGUUAUAAUAAAAUACUCAAAUCCCCAUUAUAAUUUUUUUUAGUAUAUACUUGUUGCACCGGUAUUAUCCAUCGGGAUAUGGUUAAACAGAACUUCAAAUCGUUAAUACAGUCUUUACUAAAACACUAAACUGUUAAUAUAAAAACUUAAGUUUUCAUUUAACAAAAAUAAUCUUCAUAUUAUCUACUUCUUGUUUAAAAAAACCACAGAGAGAGAAAGAGACAGAUUAACAUAUAUACCUGUUGCAGUUGGUGGUUUUGCUGAUCUUGUAAGGAAUGUUGACUCCACAUGCCUUAGGAAGUCCAGCUGCACGGGCAGCGUUGAGAGUAGGGAAGGCGUUAGCGGCUCCUACAAGGCAACGGCAAGCUUGCUGACGGUCUGGGGUUGUACGGGCCAGGUUGUUUAGACUAGUAACGCCGCUGCAGCACGCUCUGGGAAGGGCCGGCGCACCCUGGGCCAGGUAGCCAAUGCACGGUGCCACGUAGCCGCUAACGGUGCCACAACUCAGAGCCGCGUUCGAUGUGAUUGGACCGGCCACGAUCAUGCAGGCCAAGACCAAGCAUGCCAACUUCAUUAGACCAGCCAUAUUUCUCUCUUAGAUUUUUUUUGUUUGCAAAAUGAGAUGUGUGUGGAAUG
rnacentral:lncRNA from 1 species